rnacentral:rRNA from 1 species
UACGAAGGGGGCUAGCGUUGCUCGGAAUCACUGGGCGUAAAGCGCACGUAGGCGGAUUGUUAAGUCAGGGGUGAAAUCCUGGAGCUCAACUCCAGAACUGCCUUUGAUACUGGCGAUCUCGAGUCCGGGAGAGGUGAGUGGAACUGCGAGUGUAGAGGUGAAAUUCGUAGAUAUUCGCAAGAACACCAGUGGCGAAGGCGGCUCACUGGCCCGGUACUGACGCUGAGGUGCGAAAGCGUGGGGGAGCAAACAGG